UACAGAGGUCUCAAGCGUUGUUCGGAUUCAUUGGGCGUAAAGGGUGCGUAGGCGGCGCGGUAAGUCGGGUGUGAAAUCUCGGGGCUUAACUCCGAAACUGCAUUGGAUACUACCGUGCUUGAGGACUGGAGAGGAGACUGGAAUUUACGGUGUAGCGGUGAAAUGCGUAGAUAUCGUAAGGAAGACCAGUGGCGAAGGCGGGUCUCUGGACAGUUCCUGACGCUGAGGCACGAAGGUCAGGGGAGCAAACGGG
rnacentral:rRNA from 1 species